CAUUCCUGAGAAACAUAUAAUUGAGACAUCUCUCUUUUCCAGGAUAAAGGAGAUCCUGUAUGUGGAGGUCCCUGGAGGUUUGUGCAGCUAGGUGAUUUCUAAGGGACAUACUGCUAGCUCGAUGAAGAGGCCAAAUAAAGUUACUCCCAGGACUUCAAGGCAUUCUCCUCCACAGAGCACUGUGGGUUGCACGGGAUGAAAGACACUUUGUGCGGUGCUGUCAGCAGUGCUGUGGAAGUGAGUUUUCAGUCUCCCUGUGAGUGGCAUUGAAGCCCACCAUGGUCUCAAAGCACAUUUCUCCACAUGCUUCAUAUGGAUCUG
rnacentral:lncRNA from 1 species